rnacentral:rRNA from 1 species
GAUGAACGCUGGCGGCGUGCCUAAUACAUGCAAGUCGAGCGAACGGACGAGAAGCUUGCUUCUCUGAUGUUAGCGGCGGACGGGUGAGUAACACGUGGAUAACCUACCUAUAAGACUGGGAUAACUUCGGGAAACCGGAGCUAAUACCGGAUAAUAUUUUGAACUGCAUGGUUCAAAAGUGAAAGACGGUCUUGCUGUCACUUAUAGAUGGAUCCGCGCUGCAUUAGCUAGUUGGUAAGGUAACGGCUUACCAAGGCAACGAUGCAUAGCCGACCUGAGAGGGUGAUCGACCACACUGGAACUGAGACACAGUCCAGACUCCUACGGGAGGCAGCAGUAGGGAAUCUUCCGCAAUGAGCGAGAGCCUGACGGAGCAACGCCGCGUGAGUGAUGAAGGUCUUCGGAUCGUAAAACUCUGUUAUUAGGGAAGAUCAUAUGUGUAAGUAACUGUGCACAUCUUGACGGUACCUAAUCAGAAAGCCACGGCUAACUACGUG